UGGAGAGUUUGAUCCUGGCUCAGGACGAACGCUGGCGGCGUGCUUAACACAUGCAAGUCGAACGGAAAGGCCCUUCGGGGUACUCGAGUGGCGAACGGGUGAGUAACACGUGGGUGAUCUGCCCUGCACUUUGGGAUAAGCCUGGGAAACUGGGUCUAAUACCGAAUAUGACCAUGCACUUCCUGGUGUGUGGUGGAAAGCUUUUGCGGUGUGGGAUGGGCCCGCGGCCUAUCAGCUUGUUGGUGGGGUAAUGGCCUACCAAGGCGACGACGGGUAGCCGGCCUGAGAGGGUGACCGGGCCACACUGGGACUGAGAUACGGCCCAGACUCCUACGGGAGGCAGCAGUGGGGAAUAUUGCACAAUGGGCGCAAGCCUGAUGCAGCGACGCCGCGUGAGGGAUGACGGCCUUCGGGUUGUAAACCUCUUUCAAUAGGGACGAAGCGCAAGUGACGGUACCUAUAGAAGAAGGACCGGCCAACUACGUGCCAGCAGCCGCGGUA
rnacentral:rRNA from 1 species